rnacentral:rRNA from 1 species
AGAGUUUGAUCCUGGCUCAGGAUGAACGCUGGCGGCGUGCCUAACACAUGCAAGUCGAACGGACUUAUAACGAAACCUAGUGAAUUAUAAGUUAGUGGCGGACGGGUGAGUAACGCGUGGAAAACCUGCCGUAUACUGGGGGAUAACACUUAGAAAUAGGUGCUAAUACCGCAUAAGCGCACAGCUUCGCAUGAAGCAGUGCGAAAAACUCCGGUGGUAUACGAUGGUUCCGCGUCUGAUUAGCUAGUUGGUGAGGUAAAAGCCCACCAAGGCAACGAUCAGUAGCCGGCCUGAGAGGGUGAACGGCCACAUUGGGACUGAGACACGGCCCAGACACCUACGGGAGGCAGCAGUGGGGGAUAUUGCACAAUGGGGGAAACCCUGAUGCAGCGACGCCGCGUGAGUGAAGAAGUAUUUCGGUACGUAAAGCUCUAUCAGCAGGGAAGAAUAAUGACGGUACCUGACUAAGAAGCCCCGGCUAACUACGUGCCAGCAGCCGCGGUAAUACGUAGGGGGCAAGCGUUAUCCGGAUUUACUGGGUGUAAAGGGAGCGUAGACGGCUGUGCAAGUCUGAAGUGAAAUGCCGGGGCUCAACCCCGGAACUGCUUUGGAAACUGUACAGCUAGAGUGCAGGAGGGGUGAGCGGAAUUCCUAGUAUAGCGGUGAAAUGCGUAGAUAUUAGGAGGAACACCGGUGGCGAAGGCGGCUCACUGGACUGUAACUGACGUUGAGGCUCGAAAGCGUGGGGAGCAAACAGGAUUAGAUACCCUGGUAGUCCACGCCGUAAACGAUGAUUACUAGGUGUCGGGGGGCCAAGGCCCUUCG